CAUUCAAUUGAAUCACGUCAGCUGGUAGGAGAUUUGCCGCUUGCAUUUCGUCCACUCCUGCCAGUCUUAGCUAUGGCGACAGCGCCACCGCGCCGGUCGCUGCUUCUGCUGCUACCGCAGCUUCUCCUCCUCCGCUCCUUGUUGGCCGCCGCCGCACCGUCGAUCACCACGAAAGCCGUGCCGCGGCUUCCCGGUUUCAGCGGACCCCUGCCCUUCUCCCUCGAAACAGGGUACGUGGAGCUAGACGACGGCGUCCGCCUCUUCUACUACUUCAUCCAGUCGGAGCGCGACCCGGAGGAGGACCCCGUCCUACUCUGGCUCACCGGCGGCCCCGGAUGCUCCGCCCUCUCCGGCCUCGUCUACGAGAUCGGUCCUUUCUACUUCGACUUCGAGGGGUACACGGGGAGUGGACUGCCUACUCUGCUCUACAAACCAGCAUCUUGGACCCAGGUUAGCAAUGUCAUCUUCGUGGAUUCUCCGGCAGGGACAGGCUUCUCGUAUGACACCACGGGGAACAGAACCAUACCAAGUGACACCAUUGUUAUUCAACAGCUGCACACAUUUCUCCAAACGUGGUUUGAUGAACACCCACAGUUUUUGCCCAACCCGUUCUACGUUGCGGGUGAUUCGUAUAGCGGCAUAAUCAUACCUCCUCUUGCUAUGAAAAUUGCUAAAGGGAUAGAAUACGGUGAUGAGCGGCUCAUCAAUCUCAAGGGUGUCAUUGCUGGCAAUCCAUUAACUGAUCUAAUGUUGGACUUCAACUCUCGGGUUCCGUUUCUUCAUCGGAUGGGAAUCAUAUCGGAUGAACUCUACGAGGCUGCUCGUGAAGGCUGUAGAGGGCAAUACCGUAGCCCAUCGAACGCUGAUUGUGCCAAUUCCCUCCAAGCCAUUGACUAUAUCACAAGGGAUUUGAAUACUGCACACAUCUUGGAGAAAAAUUGUAUAGAAUAUCCAAGCCUCGCCAUUCAGAAGCGGCCGAGGUUGCAAGAUCAUGGUAGGAAAAGGCUAUUAGAGUCCGCAGUUUGGUCUAUCUGCAGGAAUUCCACCUACUUUCUGUCCGAGGUAUGGAUAAACGACGAACCUGUAAGGGAGAGUUUGGGUAUUCACAAGGGAACAGUUCCAUCAUGGCUACGAUGUGAUUUCGAUAUACCUUACACAAAGGAAAUCACCGAUGCAGUGGACGGUCAUUUAGCAUUGAUUGCUAAAGGAUACCGGGCCAUGAUCUACAGCGGCGACCAUGAUGCUAGUAUACCUUAUGUUGGCACCCAAGCAUGGAUCAGAAAACUUAACCUGCCCAUCACAGAUAAUUGGCGACCAUGGUAUGUGGACGGCCAAGUUGUUGGGUUCACAAGAACUUACUCCAACAAUCUGACAUAUGCAACUGUAAAGGGUGCUGGACACACAGCCCCGGAGUACAUGCCCAAGGAGUGUCUUGCCAUGAUCGAUAGAUGGCUCUCGGGUAAACCUCUUUGAGGGGUCAACUGAUGUUGGGUGCACGUGGAGAUUCUUAAUGUCAAUUGUAUAUUUAAGUGCAGCAGAGAAACAUCGCAUGACCCUAUGCUAAAAGAAGAGAGAUGGACAUGCCUGGGAAUGGAAACUUUCUGGCGGUUGGCAAUAUGGUGGUGAUCGAUGAACUGGUGAUCCUGUAAGAGCGAGACAACAACCGACAACCGUGUUAGAUACUUUAAAAACAGUGUUGAGAAGAAUCAAUAUAGCUGGGUAGAAACGCACUUGAAACAGAAGGCGAAGCAGUACUGGGCGAGAGAGUGGCAGUCAACACUGGUGAUGGAGUAGGGUCGCAGAAGGCAGUAGCAACAGUCACCUGCUGGUGGGUACCAGUGUAGGACCGGUCCUCAACAGAUUCCCUCUCAUUUGGUAAAUGCAUGAAGCCUUUUGCUGCACCCUUGUGUUGUCCCGUAGCUUUGUUGUGGUGGCACUCAACUUCCACUUGCACAGGAUGGCUGUCAUCUUUUAUCUCUUGUAUCACAUCAGAACAUUCCUGAGGCAUCCCAUGCUCCUGUGCUGGACUACAACUCCGGUUGGCAAGAGCGCCCCUAGCCCGUGCUGAGUAUUGACUGUAGCACUGCGGAACACUGUUAACUAGAGAUAUAUCUACAGAUAGAGGAGUCAAGGUAACAUCAAUGUUGUCCAACUCAUUUGGUCCCGCUCGAGGUGCCUGCUUCUGAGACAAUGAGCUAGGGUGAAGAUUGACAAUUAUUCUGUCAAUAUCUGAAGAAUUAAAUUGAUUUUCAUCUGGAGAAGGAACUGGCUCCUGAACAGUAUUGCUUUUCCCAAUAUCUUCUGGCUGGGCAGACGAAUGCUUGUUACAUUUAAGAUGAAGCUCUUCGUUUGAGACCCUAUGUUUCUUCUUGUGCUUCCCACCAGUAGUCGAGCUGCUCUUUUUCCUCUUCUUAUCCCAUCCAGCUGUGUUACCAUGCGACUCGACAUGCACUUGCUGUGCACAAGCAGCGUGACUCGGAUACGUUACUGUCUCCUGCUCCACAAUACUAGACGCUGAAGCAUGUCUAGCUUUCUGGUUUC